UACGUAUGGUGCAAGCGUUAUCCGGAUUUACUGGGUGUAAAGGGAGCGUAGGCGGCGCGUUAAGUCUGAUGUGAAAACCCGAGGCUCAGCCACGGGAGUGCAUUGGAAACUGGCGAGCUGGAGUGCCGGAGAGGUAAGCGGAAUUCCUAGUGUAGCGGUGAAAUGCGUAGAUAUUAGGAGGAACACCAGUGGCGAAGGCGGCUUACUGGACGGCAACUGACGCUGAGGCUCGAAAGCGUGGGGAGCAAACAGG
rnacentral:rRNA from 1 species